UGUAGCCUGCACCCAGUAGAUAUGGAUAUUCUGGUAAAGUUCACUGGCUUUUGCUCACUCAGAAUUGUGCAUCCAGGUUGUCAUCAUCUGACAUCUGGUACUUGAGCCAUCAGUCUGCUGUAAUCCCUGUUGAUCUCAGGAUUCAUCAGCUCCCACAGCCUGUGAGCCAGAAGCCUGCCGUCUUACCUGCCCCUCUUGGAUUUGUCAGCAUCUGGGGUCUGUGAGCCAGCUGACUGCUGUUUGAUCUGCCAAUCUUGGGCUCGUCACCCCUUGCAGCUGCAUGAUUCAGGAGAAGCCUCCAGUCUGACACCUGACCCAUAGACUUGGUCUAGACAUCUUAGUUCCAAAGGGAGGAAUGGUCCCACACGAAGAAACACCAAAGAUCCCACUCAACUGGAAUUUAAGAACACCACCUGGCCAUUUGGCCUACUCAUUCCUUUGGAUCAACGGGCAACCAAGGGAUUUACCACAUUGGCUGGUGUGGUUGACCCUGAGAACGAAGGAGAAAUUGGAUUGAUGUUGCAUAAUAGAGGUAAAGAAGAGUAUUUCUGCAAUACAGGAGAUCCCUUAAAGCUUCUCUUAGUAUUAUUAAAGUCACUGAAAAAUACAGCAACCCAAUUCCAACAUGACUACUAAUAGUCCAGACCCUUCAGGAAUGAAGCUUUAGGUCACCUCAGCAGGCAAAGAACAAUGACCAGCUGAGGUGCUUGGUUAGGGGAAAGGGAAUAUGGAAUGGGUGGAGGAAGAAGGUAGUUCUAAAUACCAGCUAUGACCAUGUGCCAAGUUGCAGAAAAGAAGCCUGUAAUUGUUAUGAGUAUUUCUUCCUUGUGUGUCUGCAUCAAAUAUUUUUGUUUUUUUCACUGAUAAAAUAUAAGAUGUACACAGGGCUAGUGUGUUUUUGGUUGUAGGCAUGUUAGAUGUAUCAUGUUAGGCACAAGUAUGACUUUGUAAUUUUCUUUAUUUAGCGAUCUUCUAUUGUUUAAGGAGAUGUGUACAGGUGCCAAUUUGACAAGAGGUGGACUGUGAUGGUUAAGGUUGUAUGUCAGCUUGCUGAAGUGAUGAACUGAAGGGGCAUCGUUUGAAAGCAAAGUUAGUAAAACAAAUAUACCCAAGGCUGUUUCCUCAUUCCUUCUGCCACAGCAAAGUCAAACACCUUGUGUAGGAAUUAAACUUGGAGAGUUCUUUGGGGUGUUCUAAGAGAUGUCUCUGAUGAAACUGUCAUAGCCCAUCAUUCACUGUGCUCACUCUUAUAUUUUCCUCUUCUUUUCCAUCUUAGGAAAUACGAUUCCCUAAUUCAGGCUCAGGCUCAAGAACUGAUCCAUUUAUGUCAGAAAAUAUAAGAAGGGAUUGGUGGAUGUAACCUUUUCACAGAGCAUGUGAAAAAUACAAUCAAGUCUUUUAAGGACUUCAUCAGGAAUGCUAACAUUUCCAACUACCAGAGACAGAGAUUUUGUGAUCAACUGGCCCAAGGAAGCCAGCUGGCAGAGUGCCUCAUGAGCAAACUCACCAUGGGACCCUUCUGAGGAGGACUACACUAAAACUACUGGAACUACUUUGCCUGAUGGCUCAGGGACCUGAAAUUACCUGGGUGUUUAUGUCAGUCCCACAGCAAUCAGUUGCUCUCUGCCUGAAAAGCACUUAACACUGACUGACAGAUACUGGAGUAUGAAUUCCAUCUACCUGACUUGAGGAGACCUUUGUCGUGAACUGGCUUUGGGAAAACAGAAUCUAAAGGCCAGCUUUGUAAAGAUUCAGAUGGAUAAAUAGAAGGAAAACAAGAGCUAUCAGUACAAUGUUUAUCUUGGAAGUCCAAAUGAGAGAGUGACUUACCUGAGACUGUGAGAAGGAAGAAUAAAAUCUUUAAGUCCAAUGGGAAAGAAGCCUAUGGUGGAAGAGAGGUGGAGAAGCAAAGAUAAUGGUGGGAAUUUGGGCGAUUCUAGGAAGAACCUGGUCAGCUUUGAACUAACGUAAAUUCUUUGACACCACACCUAAAGAUUCUGAUUUAAAUGGUGUGGAGUUGGAUUUGGGUAUCAUUAUUCUCGGCAGUGGGUGUGGUAUUCUUAAAAACCUCCCUGGGUGAUUCUAAUAUGCAGAUAGAGAUGAGAGAGAUGAUUGGUCUAGUAGGGUCUCAGGUCACUAGCAUUGGAGUAUUCCAAUGGUGUGGCUACUUCAUAGAAAAGGCUGAACAUCAACUGUUGAUGAAAUUUGCAUUCCUUUCUCAACAGUCUUGUUUUUAUAUAACAUUGAAAAAAGAGAAGAGAAAAAAGUAGAGGAUACAUUAGAAAUAUAACUGUCUAUGUAGAAUAGAGUCACUCCACCUUUUUUUGAUCACAAGAUGCAGUAAGAAAUAUAUAAUUCUUUGUGACCCAGCAUAUGUUAAAAAAUUUUUGUGGUCACUACAUGUAAUGGAUCCUAGUAUUGUCCUUUCUGAUUCUUUAAAUAAAACCUGUAAUUAGUCACAACAUUGAUUUCACAACCUACUCAUGGUUCAGAAUUGCAAUUUGAAAAACUUGCUUUUUACCAACAUUUUUUAUUAAACAAAACCCCCAAAAAGAGCUUUUAGGACUUACUUACCUAAAGAGACUAUGUUGCUGACUGCCGUCAAGUCAAUUCUGACUCAGAGAACCCUGUAGGACCGAGUAGAUGAGCCCCACAGGGUUUCCAAGGAGUGGCUGGUAGAUUCAAACUCCUAACCCUUUUGAUUAGCAGCCUGAACUCUUAACUACUUUGCUCCCAGGGCUCCAAAGAGACUAUAACAGUAAAAAAAACAAAACCUAAACGUUCAGGGAACAUAUUACAUAUUUACAUUUCCCAUUCUCUACAAUGGCGUAAAAGGAAAUCUAUAGGUGCAAGCAGUUAAGCACUCAGUUUAUAACCUGAAGGUUGGCGGUUCCAAACUUACCCAGUCGCUCAACAGGAGAAAGACCUGACCAUUUGCUUCUGAAAAGAUUACAGCCAAGACACCUUUGUGGGGCAGUUCUACUCUGUCACAUGGAGUCACUAGGAGUUGAAAUCCACUCAAUGGCAACUAAAGACAAAAACACAAUGACAUAAAGUACUUAAAAAACAAACAAAAACAGUUCAGUGGUUUUUUUUUUUAAAAACAAAUGAUCAUAGAACUACCACAUGACCUAUGACCCGUCAGUCCCAAUUCUAGGUAUAUACCCAGAAGAAGUGAAAGCACGAAAGUAAACAGAAACUUGCACACCAAUGUUGGCUGCAGCACUUUCACAACAGCCAAAAUGUUGAAACAACUGAAAUGUCUGUCAACAUGAAUGGAUAGACAAAAAGGAAUAUUACUCAGCCAUAAAGAGAAAUGAAGUCAUGAUGCAUGCCACAACGUGGAUGAACCUUGAAAACAUUAUGAUGAGUAAAAUAAGUCAGUUGCAAAAGGACCAAUAGCAUAUGA